AUUGAACGCUGGCGGCAGGCCUAACACAUGCAAGUCGAGCGGAUGACGGGAGCUUGCUCCUGGAUUCAGCGGCGGACGGGUGAGUAAUGCCUAGGAAUCUGCCUGGUAGCGGGGGAUAACGUCCGGAAACGGGCGCUAAUACCGCAUACGUCCUGAGGGAGAAAGUGGGGGAUCUUCGGACCUCACGCUAUCAGAUGAGCCUAGGUCGGAUUAGCUAGUUGGUGGGGUAAAGGCCUACCAAGGCGACGAUCCGUAACUGGUCUGAGAGGAUGAUCAGUCACACUGGAACUGAGACACGGUCCAGACUCCUACGGGAGGCAGCAGUGGGGAAUAUUGGACAAUGGGCGAAAGCCUGAUCCAGCCAUGCCGCGUGUGUGAAGAAGGUCUUCGGAUUGUAAAGCACUUUAAGUUGGGAGGAAGGGCAGUAAGUUAAUACCUUGCUGUUUUGACGUUACCAACAGAAUAAGCACCGGCUAACUUCGUG
rnacentral:rRNA from 1 species